GAUCCAAUUAGCUUGAGAAAAACGUUCACUCUUGCUUAUGUGAAGCUUGGGUAAGGUUGUGAAUAAAUAAUUGGAGCUUGAAAUUGUGAAUACUGGAACUUGGAGGAAGCGGAUUAGUUGAGGUUUUGAGGGUUGUGUUCUUUUAGAAAAUUUGUCUUGGAAUAAUACUUGGGAAUCGGCUAAGAUGCAGGUCGAGAGACAUUUUGUUAGGCAUUUGG